AGGCCAUAUCACGUUGAAACAUCGGUUCCCGUACGAUCACCGGCAUUAAGCAACGUCGAGCCUGUUCAGUACCGAAAUAGGUUACCGCUUGGGAAUAGCAGGUGCUU